UACGAAGGGGGCUAGCGUUGCUCGGAAUCACUGGGCGUAAAGCGCACGUAGGCGGACAUUUAAGUCAGGGGUGAAAUCCUGGAGCUCAACUCCAGAACUGCCUUUGAUACUGAAGAUCUUGAGUUCGGGAGAGGUGAGUGGAACUGCGAGUGUAGAGGUGAAAUUCGUAGAUAUUCGCAAGAACACCAGUGGCGAAGGCGGCUCACUGGCCCGAUACUGACGCUGAGGCACGAAAGCGUGGGGAGCAAACAGG
rnacentral:rRNA from 1 species